UACAGAGGCCCCGAGCGUUAUCCGGAAUUACUGGGCGUAAAGCGCAAGUAGUCGGUUUUUGUAGUCCGAUGUUAAAUCUCAUGGCUUAACCGUGAGGCCGCAUCGGAAACGCAAUGACUAGAGCAAGUCAGAGGCAAGCGGAACGUGUGGUGUAGCGGUGAAAUGCGUUGAUAUCACACGGAACACCGAAAGCGAAGGCAGCUUGCUGGGGCUUUGCUGACGAUCAGUUGCGAAAGCGUGGGGAUCAAAAAGG
rnacentral:misc_RNA from 1 species